UACGUAGGGACCAAGCGUUGUUCGGAUUUACUGGGCGUAAAGGGCGCGUAGGCGGCAAUUCAAGUCAUCUGUGAAAUCUCCGGGCUUAACUCGGAACGGUCAGAUGAUACUGCUUUGCUAGAGUACAGAGGGGGCAAUCGGAAUUCUUGGUGUAGCGGUGAAAUGCGUAGAUAUCAAGAGGAACACCUGAGGUGAAGACGGGUUGCUGGGCUGAUACUGACGCUGAGGCGCGAAAGCUAGGGUAGCAAACGGG
rnacentral:rRNA from 1 species